GUCAAUUCUGUUAGCCAUGGGGCCAAAAGAGCAAAAACUUUUGUUCUCUCUACGUAGGGUACCGAUCAGGAAAGGAGAAUAAAGAAUGAAAAAAUAAAAAACGCAAUAAAAAGAUGGGAGAAUAGAACUGAUCUGGGGAGGAAUCAACAGAAAAAAAAGAGGCAAAAAACUCUAAAUCUAGCCGUUAGCAGAAUUAUGGUUGGUGAUUUUUCUGAUUUGGGGAUUUUUUUCUACUCCGCAUUAUUAGUUUAGGUUUUUGAUAUGCGGAGAAGAACAGCC
rnacentral:lncRNA from 1 species